rnacentral:lncRNA from 10 species
UAAUGAAUACGUGAAAGGAUGAAUGGCAACAUCAUUGCUUUCAGCCCUGUGUCACAGGAAUAGAGGAAUGUGUGAGAUAUAGACUGAGAACCAACCUUUCUCUGACACCCCUAAAUUCUAGGGGUUCUGUCUAACGAGAGAAUUCUUAGGCUUUGGAAGGGAUGCACGGAUAUCAAACAGUAUCAGUCACCUAAAUGCUCUUGCUACAACAAUUUCUUGUUUUCCACCUUGAUUUCCCAAUAUCAAAUGAAUCAGAGUCCAGAAUACCCUGUAUUAUUCCCAGGGAUUAUCAAAUGACAAUGUGAAAAGGGGGAGUGUUAGCAGGUCCCUCUACCCUUCCUCUCUGUGAUCAUGGUCUCUCAAAAAGGUGAUGUAAACUGGAGGCAGUAGUGGAUUUUGAUGGGCUCUACAAUUUAUUUUCAUCUAUCAACCACUGCCAAGGUGGGAACCCUACUAUUUCCCAGGGAAACAGUGAUUGCAGAAAUACUGACUGGCAGAGUGAGGUGGAACUAUGAGAAUCUGAUAGCACUGAUUUAUUUACAGUGUUCUGUGACUAGGCCAGGGAAAAAGUAACCUGAGAAAUUUUCAAACAUACAUACUUGGAUUUACAUAUUUACAGAACACUUUAUACUCUUUUGCAUUUUUCACCCAGUGAGGCCAAUCUUAAUCUGAUGCCAAUCUUAUCGCCAUCUAGGUUGUCCUGUUAGUGCUGUUUAACAUCUUUAACAAAUUAGGACCGUAUCUAAUUUGUUAUAUUACUGUGUCAUUAAAAUAUGACAGUGGUUUGGAGUCUUAGGUGAUCUCUAUCCUUCUCUGACUAUGACCCUAAUGCUGCUUGGUUUUCUUUCGAAUGUGUGGAGAUAAAAUUUACUUUUGAGAUAAAAACGAACAGAUGUUCACUUUUCAUUAUAUUUGAGAGUCACUAACCAAAAUUUUCCUCACUGUCCUUGUACUUUUGUUUUAAUAUUUGCUUUCUUUUUUUCGGCUGUUUAUUUGGUUUUUACAAGCCUCUUUUCUACUUUUAAAGUUUGCUAAUUUCAAAAAUCUAUUUGUACAAUUCUUGAAUUUUAUUUUCCUCCUACUUAACUGCUCAAUCAUACAGGCAGUAUAUAUAUUGUUGGUGAAAUAAAAGGAAGGAUUUAGAAACAGGGAAUACUAUACUUUGCAGCAAAAACAUAAUAGAUCUUUUCCUCUAUCAUAAAUGUAUGUUAAAAUAUUUAAAUAUAAAGUCAAAGUUUUUCUUCUAUAAGUAGAAGCCCAACUUGUCCAGCUUUGCCUUUUUUCAUUCUAUUUCAAUAGAUGGUUUGAGAUUAUAUGAAAAUAUCCAGACUUGCUUUCAUUCUUGUUUUUCUCACAGAAGAAAAAAUACAGUGCAAUUUGACAAAGGUGAGGUUGGAAUUUGGCAGAUAUUGAGCCAGAUUCUCAGUUGUCUAUUUGGUUUAGUUCAUCAAUUUUGUACAAAUAUUAAUAUAAAGCUACAUCUUCUUCCUACAGAGUCAUGGACCUCAGGUAGGCCACGGAGAAGCUGACAGCCCGGUGUGCCCCUUCUUAUCAACUGCCUGUUUGUACACUGUGCCUGGAAUUGCUCAUUCUGGGAGAGACUGCUGUGUAUUGGAGCAGGAGUCCUCCCACAAUGGCAGGUUGUUUCAUUUUCCCUCUUUUUCUGCUUUGUUCCUGCCAUUUAAAGGAUUUUUGUUUGUUUUUUCCAUUGCAACAUUUGUGGUGAGCUUUUGAUUAGGCUGAAGGCUAACACAGCUAACGCUAACAAUUUAAAUGGGAUAACUCUCAGGGAACCUGUAUAGCUCUGUCCUUCUCCCCUUCCUCCCCCUCACCAUCAAUACCAACAACAGCCACUUUGCAAACCACAUGCACCUUGCAAACCUUUUACAGAAGCAGAUUCUUCCCUGACUAGGAGCUGAAAAUAUAUGGAAGUCCAAGAUCUUGGAAUUUCUGACAAGUCAACUGUGAAUGGAAUAAUUCUUCCCCAUCUGUUCCUUUUCGGAGACAAAUUGACCCUGAAAGCAUGAUCUACGACAAAUUCAUCUGGAUUUUCAGCAGAUUUGGUGGUCUUUGGAGGAAUUUCUCUGAGCUUAGCCUAGCUUUCUGUCCCAAACACAACAUUUUCAGUUCUGCAUGUUAGGUUUCAUGUGACAUGUUUGUGCUACUAAAAUAAACUCCCUCUUAAAUAUGAAUCCAAAUUUCUUGCCAAUAUAUUUUAGUAUAAUAUGGAAUUAAUGACAUUUCUAAUUUGCUCAUCAGUAUACUUUAGAAUGAUGUGGAAUCAGUAAUAGAUAAUAUAUCAUAUAUAUGUGCAUAUAUAUAUAUAUCUAAACAUUAAUCUAUUUAUCUGUCUAUACAUAUACUGUGUAUAUAUAUACACGCACACACACACAUAUAUAUAUAUAUAUAUACACACACACAUAUAUAUGUACAUAAAGUGUUAUUUGGGAGGACAGUAUACAAAAAUGCUAUUGAAAGCCAUCUGCGCUGUGAAAGCCAAUGUGUGUGUGUAGCUAUGUGUGUAGUCAUCUUCUAAGAUAUAAGGUGUUUUAAGACUAUAUGUUAUGAAAAAGACUUUUUUCUCAAAAAUGAUCUUAAUUUGGAAAACAGGAUGGUAAAAGUAACUUUAACAUAUUAUUAGACAUGAAAAUUUAAUUAAGACAUUAGUUCUCUACCUAAUGUUUUGUGUGUAUGUAUAUCUAUCUUAGCAUAUUUAUGGCAUAAGUUACAGCUAAGGACAAAGGAUGAAAAAUGCUAAAUUACCCUCUCUUUGUUCCUCAUUUGCCAAGCAAAUGAAUGAAAAUGUAUAUCUCUGUCAUUUGGCUUAAGAAUCCCCCCUAAGAAUUUAACCAAAUAAAUGAUUUUAAAACUGUGUAGAAAUACAAAU